UACGGAGGGUGCAAGCGUUAUCCGGAUUCACUGGGUUUAAAGGGUGCGUAGGUGGGCAAGUAAGUCAGUGGUGAAAUCUCCGGGCUUAACCCGGAAACUGCCAUUGAUACUAUUUGUCUUGAAUACUGUGGAGGUCAGCGGAAUAUGUCAUGUAGCGGUGAAAUGCUUAGAUAUGACAUAGAACACCAAUUGCGAAGGCAGCUGGCUACACAAAUAUUGACACUGAGGCACGAAAAGCGUGGGGAUCAAACAGG
rnacentral:rRNA from 1 species